rnacentral:rRNA from 1 species
UACGUAGGUGGCGAGCGUUGUCCGGAUUUACUGGGCGUAAAGCGCGCGCAGGCGGUCCGGUAAGUCUCCGGUGAAAUCGCCCGGCUCAACUGGGAGGGUGCGCCGGAAACUGGAGUGCUUGAGCGUGGGAGAGGAAAGCGGAAUUCCUGGUGUAGCGGUGAAAUGCGUAGAUAUCAGGAGGAACACCUGUGGUGUAGACGGCUUUCUGGACCAUAGCUGACGCUGAGACACGAAAGCGUGGGUAGCAAACAGG